UACGUAGGGUGCAAGCGUUGUCCGGAAUUAUUGGGCGUAAAGAGCUCGUAGGCGGUUCGUCGCGUCGGCUGUGAAAACCUGAGGCUCAACCUCAGGCCUGCAGUCGAUACGGGCGGACUUGAGUACUGCAGGGGGGACUGGAAUUCCUGGUGUAGCGGUGAAAUGCGCAGAUAUCAGGAGGAACACCGGUGGCGAAGGCGGGUCUCUGGGCAGUAACUGACGCUGAGGAGCGAAAGCGUGGGGAGCGAACAGG
rnacentral:rRNA from 1 species